CGGAAUGGCGGCAGCUACACAUGCAGUCGAGCGGUAGCAGGAGGUGCUUGCACCUCGCUGACGAGCGGCGGACGGGUGAGUAACGCGUAGGAAUCCACCUGUUAGUGGGGGAUAGCCCAGGGAAACUUGGAUUAAUACCGCAUACGCCCUACGGGGGAAAGUGGGGGAUCUUCGGACCUCACGCUAACAGAUGAGCCUGCGUAGGAUUAGCUGGUUGGUGGGGUAAAGGCCCACCAAGGCGACGAUCCUUAGCUGGUCUGAGAGGAUGAUCAGCCACACUGAACUGAGACACGGUCCAGACUCCUACGGGAGGCAGCAGUGGGGAAUAUUGGACAAUGGGCGAAAGCCUGAUCCAGCCAUGCCGCGUGUGUGAAGAAGGUCUUCGGAUUGUAAAGCACUUUAAGUUGGGAGGAAGGGCAGUAAGUUAAUACCUUGCUGUUUUGACGUUACCGACAGAAUAAGCACCGGCUAACUUCGUGCCAGCAGCCGCGGUAAUACGAAGGGUGCAAGCGUUAAUCGGAAUUACUGGGCGUAAAGCGCGCGUAGGUGGUUCAGCAAGUUGGAUGUGAAAGCCCCGGGCUCAACCUGGGAACUGCAUCCAAAACUACUGAGCUAGAGUACGGUAGAGGGUGGUGGAAUUUCCUGUGUAGCGGUGAAAUGCGUAGAUAUAGGAAGGAACACCAGUGGCGAAGGCGACCACCUGGACUGAUACUGACACUGAGGUGCGAAAGCGUGGGGAGCAAACAGGAUUAGAUACCCUGCUAGUCCACGCCGUAAACGAUGUCAACUAGCUGUUGGGUUCCUUGAGAACUUAGUAGCGCAGCUAACGCGAUAAGUUGAUCGCCUGGGGAGUACGGCCGCAAGGUUAAAACUCAAAUGAAUUGACGGGGGCCCGCACAAGCGGUGGAGCAUGUGUUUAUUCGAAGCAACGCGAAGAACCUUACCUGGCCUUGACAUGCUGAGAACUUUCCAGGAGAUGGAUUGGUGCCUUCAGGAA
rnacentral:rRNA from 1 species